rnacentral:misc_RNA from 1 species
CCGCACUGUUGAAGAUAUGCUCGAGGUUAUAUUUGGAGUAGAGCUCAAGUCCCUUGGCGAAGUAGCUGUAUUGAUCGGUGAUCUCAGGAGAGGAACAAGUCCCAUGAAUCUCCCACUCAUGCUCCCAAAUGAGUGACUCGGUACCGUCGCAAUGCGAAAGAUGGUUUGCAGGACCACAUUCUAGUGGUGGCCAGAACUCCUCGAGGGCCGGAAUUAGAGCUGAAACCUGCGUCUGAUCGAGCUUAGUUUUGGUGCAGCACCGUGGCCAGGAUGUAAGGUUUGCAUAAUUUGGCCAGAAGGAAUGGAUUGUGAACUCUGGUUUAGGCCUCAUCCUGCAGCAUUCGUUGACGAAGCAGCAGUUGUUGUUCUUGUACUUUGCGCACACGUGGGCGGUCCGGUAGACGGCGAGGACGAACAGAUCGUAGCCGCCUUUUUCGGCGAUGGCCUGUUGGAAGCUGAGAGGGGAGAGGAGGAGGAUGGAGAUGAAGACUAUGUCUCUAAAAGUAGCCAUUUUUCUUCUUCG